UGGGGAAUAUUGCACAAUGGGCGCAAGCCUGAUGCAGCCAUGCCGCGUGUAUGAAGAAGGCCUUCGGGUUGUAAAGUACUUUCAGCGGGGAGGAAGGGAGUAAAGUUAAUAACCUUGGCAAUUGACGUUACCGACAGAAGAAGCACCGGCUAACUCCGUGCCAGCAGCCGCGGUAAUACGGAGGGUGCAAGCGUUAAUCGGAAUUACUGGGCGUAAAGCGCACGCAGGCGGUCUGUCAAGUCGGAUGUGAAAUCCCCGGGCUCAACCUGGGAACUGCAUUCGAAACUGGCAGGCUAGAGUCUUGUAGAGGGGGGUAGAAUUCCAGGUGUAGCGGUGAAAUGCGUAGAGAUCUGGAGGAAUACCGGUGGCGAAGGCGGCCCCCUGGACAAAGACUGACGCUCAGGUGCGAAAGCGUGGGGAGCAAACAGG
rnacentral:rRNA from 1 species